rnacentral:tRNA from 5 species
AGGAAAUGUGCCCGAGAAUUUAAGGGUUACUUUGAUAGAGUAAUAUACAGGGACACUAAACCCUCAUUUCCU